CCUACGGGAGGCUGCAGUGGGGAAUAUUGGACAAUGGGCGAAAGCCUGAUCCAGCCAUGCCGCGUGUGUGAAGAAGGCCUUCGGGUUGUAAAGCACUUUCAGUGGGGAAGAAAGCCUUGGGGCUAAUACCCUCGAGGAAGGACAUCACCCACAGAAUAAGCACCGGCUAACUCCGUGCCAGCAGCCGCGGUAAUACGGAGGGUGCGAGCGUUAAUCGGAAUUACUGGGCGUAAAGCGCGCGUAGGCGGUCUGAUAAGCCGGUUGUGAAAGCCCCGGGCUCAACCUGGGAACGGCAUCCGGAACUGUCAGGCUAGAGUGCAGGAGAGGAAGGUAGAAUUCCCGGUGUAGCGGUGAAAUGCGUAGAGAUCGGGAGGAAUACCAGUGGCGAAGGCGGCCUUCUGGACUGACACUGACGCUGAGGUGCGAAAGCGUGGGUAGCAAACAGGAUUAGAUACCCCUGUAGUC
rnacentral:rRNA from 1 species